rnacentral:rRNA from 1 species
CUACGGGUGGCACCAGUGGGGAAUCCUAGACAAUGGGCGCAAGCCUGAUCUAGCCAUGCCGCGUGAGUGACGAAGGCCUUAGGGUCGUAAAGCUCUUUCGCUGGGGAAGGUAAUGACGGUACCCAGUAAAGAAACCCCGGCUAACUCCGUGCCAGCAGCCGCGGUAAUACGGAGGGGGUUAGCGUUGUUCGGAAUUACUGGGCGUAAAGCGCGCGUAGGCGGAUCAGAAAGUUGGGGGUGAAAUCCCGGGGCUCAACCCCGGAACUGCCUUCAAAACUCCUGGUCUUGAGUUCGAGAGAGGUGAGUGGAAUUCCGAGUGUAGAGGUGAAAUUCGUAGAUAUUCGGAGGAACACCAGUGGCGAAGGCGGCUCACUGGCUCGAUACUGACGCUGAGGUGCGAAAGCGUGGGGAGCAAACAGGAUUAGAUACCCCGGUAGUC